rnacentral:rRNA from 1 species
UACGGGGGGGGCAAGCGUUGUUCGGAAUUACUGGGCGUAAAGGGCCAGUAGGCGGCCAACUAAGUCGGAUGUGAAAUCCCCAGGCUUAACCUGGGAACUGCAUCCGAUACUGGAUGGCUUGAAUCCGGGAGAGGGAUGCGGAAUUCCAGGUGUAGCGGUGAAAUGCGUAGAUAUUGGGAGGAACACCGGUGGCGAAGGCGGCCCCCUGGACCGGUACUGACGCUGAGGCGCGAAAGCGUGGGUAGCAAACGGG